rnacentral:rRNA from 1 species
GGCGGCCGUAACUAUAACGGUCCUAAGGUAGCGAAAUUCCUUGUCGGGUAAGUUCCGACCUGCACGAAUGGCGUAAUGAUGGCCAGGCUGUCUCCACCCGAGACUCAGUGAAAUUGAACUCGCUGUGAAGAUGCAGUGUACCCGCGGCAAGACGGAAAGACCCCGUGAACCUUUACUAUAGCUUGACACUGAACAUUGAGCCUUGAUGUGUAGGAUAGGUGGGAGGCUUGGAAGUGUGGACGCCAGUCUGCAUGGAGCCGACCUUGAAAUACCACCCUUUAAUGUUUGAUGUUCUAACGUUGACCCGUAAUCCGGGUUGCGGACAGUGUCUGGUGGGUAGUUUGACUGGGGCGGUCUCCUCCUAAAGAGUAACGGAGGAGCACGAAGGUUGGCUAAUCCUGGUCGGACAUCAGGAGGUUAGUGCAAUGGCAUAAGCCAGCUUGACUGCGAGCGUGACGGCGCGAGCAGGUGCGAAAGCAGGUCAUAGUGAUCCGGUGGUUCUGAAUGGAAGGGCCAUCGCUCAACGGAUAAAAGGUACUCCGGGGAUAACAGGCUGAUACCGCCCAAGAGUUCAUAUCGACGGCGGUGUUUGGCACCUCGAUGUCGGCUCAUCACAUCCUGGGGCUGAAGUAGGUCCCAAGGGUAUGGCUGUUCGCCAUUUAAAGUGGUACGCGAGCUGGGUUUAGAACGUCGUGAGACAGUUCGGUCCCUAUCUGCCGUGGGCGCUGGAGAACUGAGGGGGGCUGCUCCUAGUACGAGAGGACCGGAGUGGACGCAUCACUGGUGUUCGGGUUGUCAUGCCAAUGGCACUGCCCGGUAGCUAAAUGCGGAAGAGAUAAGUGCUGAAAGCAUCUAAGCACGAAACUUGCCCCGAGAUGAGUUCUCCCUGACUCCUUGAGAGUCCUGAAGGAACGUUGAAGACGACGACGUUGAUAGGCCGGGUGUGUAAGCGCAGCGAUGCGUUGAGCUAACCGGUACUAAUGAACCGUGAGG